rnacentral:rRNA from 1 species
AGUGAACGCUGGCGGUAGGCCUAACACAUGCAAGUCGAACGGCAGCACAGUAAGAGUUUGCUCUUACGGGUGGCGAGUGGCGGACGGGUGAGGAAUACAUCGGAAUCUACUUUUUCGUGGGGGAUAACGUAGGGAAACUUACGCUAAUACCGCAUACGACCUACGGGUGAAAGCAGGGGAUCUUCGGACCUUGCGCGAUUGAAUGAGCCGAUGUCGGAUUAGCUAGUUGGCGGGGUAAAGGCCCACCAAGGCGACGAUCCGUAGCUGGUCUGAGAGGAUGAUCAGCCACACUGGAACUGAGGCACGGUCCAGACUCCUACGGGAGGCAGCAGUGGGGAAUAUUGGACAAUGGGCGCAAGCCUGAUCCAGCCAUACCGCGUGGGUGAAGAAGGCCUUCGGGUUGUAAAGCCCUUUUGUUGGGAAAGAAAAGCAGCAGGUUAAUACCCCGCUGUUCUGACGGUACCCAAAGAAUAAGCACCGGCUAACUUCGUG